rnacentral:misc_RNA from 1 species
UCUCCGUAGGUGAACCUGCGGAGGGAUCAUUACAGAGUUCGUGCCCUCACGGGUAGAUCACCCACCCUGUGUUAUUAUACCUUUGUUGCUUUGGCGGGCCGCCCUCGGCUACCGGCUCCGGCUGGUACGCGCCCGCCAGAGGACCCCAAACUCUGAAUGUUUGUGUCGUCUGAGUACUAUACAGUAGUUAAAACUUUCAGCAACGGAUCUCUUGGUUCUG